AGAGUUUGAUCCUGGCUCAGAACGAACGCUGGCGGCAUGCCUAACACAUGCAAGUCGAACGAAGGCUUCGGCCUUAGUGGCGCACGGGUGCGUAACGCGUGGGAAUCUGCCCUUAGGUUCGGAAUAACAGUUAGAAAUGACUGCUAAUACCGGAUGAUGACGAAAGUCCAAAGAUUUAUCGCCUGAGGAUGAGCCCGCGUAGGAUUAGCUAGUUGGUGUGGUAAAGGCGCACCAAGGCGACGAUCCUUAGCUGGUCUGAGAGGAUGAUCAGCCACACUGGGACUGAGACACGGCCCAGACUCCUACGGGAGGCAGCAGUGGGGAAUAUUGGACAAUGGGGGGAACCCUGAUCCAGCCAUGCCGCGUGUGUGAAGAAGGCCUUAUGGUUGUAAAGCACUUUAAGCGAGGAGGAGGCUCUCUUGGUUAAUACCCAAGAUGAGUGGACGUUACUCGCAGAAUAAGCACCGGCUAACUCUGUGCCAGCAGCCGCGGUAAUACAGAGGGUGCGAGCGUUAAUCGGAUUUACUGGGCGUAAAGCGUGCGUAGGCGGCUUUUUAAGUCGGAUGUGAAAUCCCCGAGCUUAACUUGGGAAUUGCAUUCGAUACUGGGAAGCUAGAGUAUGGGAGAGGAUGGUAGAAUUCCAGGUGUAGCGGUGAAAUGCGUAGAGAUCUGGAGGAAUACCGAUGGCGAAGGCAGCCAUCUGGCCUAAUACUGACGCUGAGGUACGAAAGCAUGGGGAGCAAACAGGAUUAGAUACCCUGGUAGUCCAUGCCGUAAACGAUGUCUACUAGCCGUUGGGGCCUUUGAGGCUUUAGUGGCGCAGCUAACGCGAUAAGUAGACCGCCUGGGGAGUACGGUCGCAAGAUUAAAACUCAAAGGAAUUGACGGGGGCCUGCACAAGCGGUGGAGCAUGUGGUUUAAUUCGAUGCAACGCGAAGAACCUUACCUGGUCUUGACAUAGUAAGAACUUUCCAGAGAUGGAUUGGUGCCUUCGGGAACUUACAUACAGGUGCUGCAUGGCUGUCGUCAGCUCGUGUCGUGAGAUGUUGGGUUAAGUCCCGCAACGAGCGCAACCC
rnacentral:rRNA from 1 species